GAUGUGUUAUUUCCAGCCGUAGGUUCGAUUCUUUGUUAUCCUUUUUUUCUUACCUCACUUUUUUCCCUUCAACACCGCCUCUUCACUUCCACGCGUCCUCACCCAGUAAACACAUUAACCUUACUGCCAAACCUCACAAUAGUCAAUUAAGAGAGAGAGAGAGAGAACAACCAUCGACGGUGAAGGCUUAUUUGACGGAACGGCGGUGGUCGGUGGUGAUGUUCUCAGAUGUGACGGCUAGGGUUCUGGUUACCCUAGACGCGGUGACUCAAACUUUAACAAGGUUUUGGGCACAUCAAAGUCGGCUCGAGGGUUUUCCGCUGGUCUCCAUUUGUUUUCAGCAAAGAUUGUCAGAACACGAAUCUUAGAAGUGAACCAAACUCUUUUUAAGAUCGAUCUAUUGUUGCAUGUCAUUAUUUGACUCAGAUACCCCAGUAGUGGAAGUAACGUCGUUCACGUUAAUUGGAGACUUAUUGAAGGUAAUAUUUAAGUGUGAAACUGCAUUGACAUCAUUCAUUGCUGAAUUUCAAUAGUGAUUUUGAAAUAUUGCUUUUGGAGUCAUGUUUGAAAGUUCCUUGCUUUUGGUAUAUCAUCUGAUUUUGAGUGUAUUUUAACGGGUCAUGUUGUAUUUAGUUCGAUCUUGGUUUAGGGUUUUGGUGCUAAAGGGCAAGUGAGUUCUGCUUUUGGUUUGCAGUUUGGUAGCGCUGGUUUUAUUUGAUCAUGAAAACCAAACAAUAGAAUUAUUGUAACUUAUGAUUCAGUAUUAUAAAUUAAGUUUUUAGCUUUGUCCAGAAGGCAUAAAGUUUUUGGGGGUUUACAAAUGGUUUUCAUCAUGGGUGCAUCAACAGUACAAGUACUAACCCUAAGUGUUAACUUUUUUUAUGAUUUGCAAACACGUUUUUCUUAGACGGUGUCAUGGUGAUACAGUAAACUGGUAACCCAAUGCUCCCUGGAAACCUGGUAAGUUUUUGCGGUGAUGGUGGGAUUGAUCGAUGAGAAAAACGGUGAUGGAAGUCGGCGUUUGACGACUUGCAAAGAGGGUAUCACUUUUGGCAGUAGUAAUCAGUUUUCAUGUCAUCUCUUGGGGCGAUAUUCAUUAGCAAUUGGUGGUGUUCGAUGGUUGUUUAGGGCAGUGAUAGGUAAACUCGGUACUAGAGAAAUUGAUUGAAGUGGUUUCUGAACCAUGGCGGUGAUUUUUGUGGGUGGUCGUUUGUUGUUUGGUUUCGGUGCAAAACCAAUUGUGUCCCUGGUAUUGCAGUUGUAACAAAAUCGGUUCUGUGGGGAUGAUUUUCGGUUAAAGUUUCGACAUGUCCUUUGUUGAUCGAUGUCACCUCUUCAUUGCAACCUCUGGUAUGAAGUCAUGGUGAAGUCGGCGUAGAGGUGGGCUCAUACUCCAGCAGCGGCACAUGAAUUCCGGUUAACUCCGGUGAGAACCCAGUGUACAGUUGUUGUGGUUCUACCAUCCAACCACUUGAAUGCGGCAAACGCCGGAGGCGGUUUGAAGUUCUGGUAGCAAUUCAAGACUCCAAUGUGUAGCAAGAUCACCACUUUUACAAUUUCAAGAUUCAUCAGUUUGGCCGCAAAAAAGGGUUUAUAUAAUUGAGGGAGAUCUAGGUAGCUUCUGACUAAAGAUCUCAAAAAUUGGGUAGCAAUAGUGUCGACAAUGGACAUGCAAUGGCUUCUUAUUUAGUGGAAAAUUUAUACUUAUGGUAUCCUAAAGAAGCUUACUUUUGUUAAAAUCUGCAGAUUUUGUUGAUAAAUGGACAGGUACAAUCUGCAAAAUGUAUCUAGACAAACAGAGUGAUCACCGGUUAUGCAUUGACAAAGCGAAGUGAAGACUAUUCUUUGUGGUCUACAUCACACAUAGUUCCAGUGUUCUUCAUUUUUAGGCGGUGGAUUUGGGAUUUAUAUAAUGCAAAGGGAAAUGAUGCAUACAAGAAAGGAUAGUGGAAUAAAGAGGUAACAUGUUAUACUGAAGCUAACAAGUUGGAUAAAUCAAUGCUCCUUUCUACUUCAACGGAGCAACUACCAACACAGAAUUAGGAUGGGAGACUAAAGUUGGUAAGUUUCAUUGCCAUCAAAAAGUGCCAAGGAAGAUUUGAAGACACCGGUAGCGAGACGACAUCGAUGGAAGAGAUGGUCAAGGUGGGCCAUAGCAAUAGCAUAGUAAUAACCGACUGAACCCUUAUGAGAUGCUAAGAAAGGUGGCAGAGCAGUUCAAGGGGAGGGCAACUUAUUAUUUAAAAGAAGGGGCUUCACUUAUGACGGUGCUGACACCAUCGACAAAUCCAAAAUAUGUUACUACAUUCUUUCACUUCUAAUAUAUGGUAACAGUAAUCAAGAUUAAGCCUAGCUAAACAAAUUCGGUCAGAUAACAUGUCAAAACGGGUCGUUUUAACUUUUAAGAAGUAUUUAUUUACUUUUGAGUCAAAAUCUUUUCCACAGCUUGGGUUGAGACGUGUUGAUUUAGGGAAAAGGCUAUCAAAAUGGGUUUGUUUG